ensembl:lincRNA
AAUUGGAAAGACUUCAGCAAUAGUCAUGUAUACAUUUUUUUACAAAACAGGUCUUGCCGUCUCAAAACCAGAGCUGAUCACAUGCCUGGAGCAAAGGAUAGAGCCCUGGAUUAUGAAGAAAGAGGAAACAUCAGCUAAAUAUCCAGGCAAAGAUUACACCAGUUUGAUUGAAAAUAGACAUGGCCAUGGUUUGUACCGGGAAUUUGCAAGACAGGGACAGACUUUAGACUGAGGAUGUACCAAAAUCUCAGGGCAGACAUAUGCUGCAGUGUAAGAGAUCAACAUGGACUUGUAAGUUGACUUUGAAAGGACCUUUUUGGGUGAGUGUAAACAAUUUUCUAGAUCUUGUGUAAUGUCGUAUUAUAGUUGUGUGUGAAGAAUAGAAAGGCUGGCACCACAUCUAAAUUUUUCUGUAAAUUAUUGGACACUUACUAGCCACCUUUUGUGGAAUAAUAAGGAUUAAAUCACACAACGUAAAGGCUUCUGAUUAGGCAACAAACCAUACUUUGGACCACAUAGCACAUGCUCAGUAGACAUUGCAUUAUGCUGCUCUUCACUUUGGAAAUUAAGUAUAUGUUGUGAUGAGUGUUGGGCAAAAGGCAGUAUGUAUGCUGUGCUUGCUGUCUCUACCUGAGUGCUACUAAUAAUGGAUCUAGUUUGAGCAACUUCAGCACUAAAAUGGACCUGACAAAGAACCCAAUGAAUGUACCUCUUCGACACAAGCAGAUCUCAUUUCUUAGAGUGAGGCCAACAUUACCACAUGAUUUAUAUUCACAUUGAUGUUUCAGAGACAAUUUUAAGGUAAUUACCUCUCAUCCCAGGCUUUCAAUUAGGAUAACCUGGGUAGAUUGAAGAAACACCAUCACCUGCCUGUUGGGCUGAAUGAGAACAUCUAUGUGGUUUUAAUUGUGCCCCAAAUAAUUCUAAUUUGAUACCAGGUUCAAACAUUAGGACUCCUGCAUAUAUUCGUGAGAAUUGAGUCUAGCUUUGUUUUAGAGGGAAGUCAUAGGUUCUGCUCUCUUGGGUUUGCCAGAGGCAGAUCAUUGUGUUCCUGAUUCCCAUUCUUGUAGCAGAAAAUCCUGGGAUCUGUAGCAGGGUGAGGUAACCAGAAGAAAAGACAGGAGAAUCUCACAUUUUGGUCUCCAUGAAAGAGCUGAUCAUAGCUGAAUCUUCCCUUUCAGUAAGAACAAGUGAGUGUAGCCUUUCUUCAUUUUGUGUUCCUCCUGCUUGUGAAUCUUGUGGAAACAAGGGAAGAAAUUGUGCUGACUUCCUUCAGGGCAAUCUGAAGAUGUAAUUCUAAUUGUUCUACACUAUCUCACCUGAAAAGAGAUUUCAGAGUAGGAGACGAGGGAGCAGAAAUGGCUGGUUUUCGGGUAAGUGUGUCCCAGAUUAGGGGUUGUGUCCACUAUUUCUCCUAGAAAGUCUUGUAGAACUUCAAUUUUUUGAAUUUAUAAACCUUUACUUCUUUACUUCUCAUGUGUAUGACUAAUAAGUUUUAUAAGUAAAUUUUUUUAUUUCUUCUUAUGAUAAUCAAGGAGCUUUGGAAAAUCCUUUAUCCCUAUUUAACAGA